CCUACGGGGGGCAGCAGUGAGGAAUAUUGGUCAAUGGCCGGAAGGCUGAACCAGCCAUGCCGCGUGAAGGUCAGUGCCCUAUGGGCGUUAAACUUCUUUUGUGCGGGAGCAAUAAUGGUCACGUGUGGCCAGACGAGAGUACCGUACGAAUAAGCAUCGGCUAACUCCGUGCCAGCAGCCGCGGUAAUACGGGGGAUGCAAGCGUUAUCCGGGUUUAUUGGGUUUAAAGGGUGCGUAGGCUGUGAGGUAAGUCAGCGGUGAAAUGCCCCCGGUCAACGGGGUGAAGUGCCAUUGAUACUGCCUGGCUGGAAUGCGGAUGCGGUGGGAGGAAUGUGUGGUGUAGCGGUGAAAUGCAUAGAUAUCACACAGAACACCGAUUGCGAAGGCAUCUCACGAAUCCGCGAUUGACGCUGAUGCACGAAAGCGUGGGUAUCAAACAGGAUUAGAUACCCCUGUAGUC
rnacentral:rRNA from 1 species